ACAAAUCACUAAAAAAAAUUCAUUUUUAGCAGACAUUUCAAGGGUUGGAAGAUUCAAAUUUUCACUUACAGAAGUGCAGUGAAUAUGUGAAAGUUAUUUGAUAAAUAACGUUAAAAUAACAUAUCAUCAACUAUCCGCAACAAAAUCCAAAAUCAACUGUUUAAGCAAAUGCCAACUCCAUUUCUUCGCUGGUAUUACCUGCUUGUAAAAUUAUAUGUACGUAUGUAUUUAAGUCAUGUAUGUAUGCAUACAAAUAAAUUGGUGUAUAUGUUUACGUGUGUAUGUACCACCAGAAUGCUUAUAUACUGAAGAUUUAUUAAGACUACAAUUGAUAUAAAGAGAUUUACUUUCAAUGUUUUGGCGGACAUAUUAAGUGUUGGAAGAAUAUCAGGUUUUCAUAUACUUCAACCUUACAAAACUUUCAAAGUCAUUUUAGUCAUCAUUCAUUUUUGGCCUCAAUUCUUCACGCGCCUGCCUAAUUCAUUCCAAUCUUAACAUUUUGUUCAAACUCAUGGGUUUUACAAAAAGCUCUUUGGGCAAGUUCGGCGAAAACUUAAACAUUUUCUUCUUAUUUCAUCGGAGGAUAUAGUGCGGAGAUAAAAGAUUGUGUUACAAUGGUACGUAUGUACAU